rfam:Daedalea quercina L-15889 unplaced genomic scaffold DAEQTscaffold_93, whole genome shotgun sequence.
GGCUCAAUGGUCUAGUCGUAUGAUUCGCGCUUCGGGUGCAGUCUUGUUCUUGAAUAUUUGCGCGAGGUCCCGGGUUCAAUUCCCGGUUGAGCCC